AGAUUGAACGCUGGCGGCGUGCCUAACACAUGCAAGUCGAGCGGUAACAGGUGUAGCAAUACGUGCUGACGAGCGGCGAACGGGUGAGUAAUGCUUUGGAAUCUUCCCAGUAGUGGGGAAUAACCAGUCGAAAGAUUGGCUAAUACCGCAUAAGUCUGUAAAGGGAAAGCGGGGCUCGUAAGACCUCGCGCUAUUGGAUGAGCCAAAGUCGGAUUAGCUAGUUGGUGGGGUAAUGGCCUACCAAGGCGACAAUCCGUAGCUGGUCUGAGAGGACGACCAGCCACACCGGAACUGAGACACGGUCCGGACUCCUACGGGAGGCAGCAGUGGGGAAUAUUGGACAAUGGGGGAAACCCUGAUCCAGCGACGCCGCGUGUGUGAAGAAGGCCUGCGGGUUGUAAAGCACUUUUAGUGGGGACAAAAGCUACGGACUAAUAUUCUGUGGUCUUGAUUUAACCCAAGAAAAGCACCGGCUAACUCUGUGCCAGCAGCCGCGGU
rnacentral:rRNA from 1 species